ACAUACUCUUGUUGCUUUGGCAGGCCGUGGUCUCCCACUGUGGGCUCUGCCUGCAUGUGCCUGCCAGAGGACCAAACUCUGAAUGUUAGUGAUGUCUGAGUACUAUAUAAUAGUUAAAACUUUCAACAACGGAUCUCUUGGUUCUGGCAUCGAUGAAGAACGCAGCGAAAUGCGAUAAGUAAUGUGAAUUGCAGAAUUCAGUGAAUCAUCGAAUCUUUGAACGCACAUUGCACCCGGUGGUAUUCCGCCGGGUAUGCCUGUUCGAGCGUCAUUAUAACCACUCAAGCCUGUCUUGGUGUUGGGGAUUGCGAAUCUUGCAGCCCUAGAGUCCAGUAGCGUCACCUGUAGGUCCUAAGCGUAGUAAUUUCUCCUCGCUACAGAGCCUGCCGGUGGAUAGUGUAAAUCCAGUUAAGUCUGCGUGUCCUGCUAUUAAACCCCCAAAUUUUAAAGGUUGACCUCGGAUCAAGUAGGGAUACCCGCUGAACUUAAGCAUAUCAAUAAGCGGAGGAAG
rnacentral:rRNA from 1 species